rnacentral:rRNA from 1 species
AACGAACGCUGGCGGCAGGCCUAACACAUGCAAGUCGAACGCUCGUAGCAAUACGGGAGUGGCAGACGGGUGAGUAACACGUGGGAACCUUCCCUAUGGUUCGGAAUAGCUCAGGGAAACUUGGGGUAAUACCGGAUAAGCCCUUCGGGGAAAGAUUUAUCGCCAUUGGAUGGGCCCGCGUCGGAUUAGCUAGUUGGUGAGGUAACGGCUCACCAAGGCAACGAUCCGUAGCUGGUCUGAGAGGAUGAUCAGCCACACUGGGACUGAGACACGGCCCAGACUCCUACGGGAGGCAGCAGUGGGGAAUUUUUCGCAAUGGGCGCAAGCCUGACGAAGCAACGCCGCGUGGAGGAUGAAGGCCUUC